UACGUAGGGACCAAGCGUUGUUCGGAUUUACUGGGCGUAAAGGGAGCGUAGGCGGCGUGUCAAGUCAGUUGUGAAAUCUCCGAGCUUAACUCGGAACGGUCAACUGAUACUGUCAUGCUAGAGUGCAGAAGGGGCAAUCGGAAUUCUUGGUGUAGCGGUGAAAUGCGUAGAUAUCAAGAGGAACACCUGAGGUGAAGACGGGUUGCUGGGCUGACACUGACGCUGAGGCUCGAAAGCUAGGGUAGCAAACGGGAUUAGAUACCCCGGGUAGUCC
rnacentral:rRNA from 1 species